rnacentral:rRNA from 1 species
UGCCAGCAUCCGCGGUUAAACCAAGAAAUUUAGUCAUUCUUUGAUGGUAAAAAGACAGUUAGGUAGGAGAAGAGUGAUCAUAAGACCUCUAGUGCAGGAGUAAAAUCUAAACAUUAGAAGUUACACCUAGUAUGAUUUCUUUGUAAAUACUGAAUCUGUGACAACUUCAAGGGAAACUGGGAUUGGAUACCCCAUUAUUUUUAGUAGUAAAUUAAUUUAAGUUUACCAGAGUACUACGAAUCAAAAAGUUUAAAACUCAAAGGGCUUGGCGGUGUUUUAGACCUCUCAGGGGAACCUGUCUCAUAAUCGACAAUCCACGUUAAACCUAACCCUUUAUAGCAAUCAGCCUGUAUACCGUCGUCGUCAGGUAACUUCUAAAAAUACAGUAGUUAGCAUGAUAAUUAUAUUAAUUAAAACGUCAGAUCAAGGUGCAGCCAAUGAAAGGGAGAGGAUGGGUUACAAUUAUAUACUUAUAAUUACGAAAGGCGCUAGGAAGCGAGCAACCAUGAAGGAGGACUUGAAAGUAAUUUUGGCUACAUAAGCGAAAUGAAUAAGGCUCUGAAACGUGCACACAUCGCCCGCCGCUCU